GACGAACGCUGGCGGCGUGCUUAACACAUGCAAGUCGAACGAAGAGCGAUGGAAGCUUGCUUCUAUCAAUCUUAGUGGCGAACGGGUGAGUAACGCGUAAUCAACCUGCCCUUCAGAGGGGGACAACAGUUGGAAACGACUGCUAAUACCGCAUACGAUCUAAUCUCGGCAUCGAGGAUAGAUGAAAGGUGGCCUCUACAUGUAAGCUAUCACUGAAGGAGGGGAUUGCGUCUGAUUGGCUAGUUGGAGGGGUAACGGCCCACAAAGGAUGAUCAGUAGCCGGUCUGACAGGAUGAACGGCCACAUUGGGACUGAGACACGGCCCAGACUCCUACGGGAGGCAGCAGUGGGGAAUCUUCCGCAAUGGACGAAAGUCUGACGGAGCAACGCCGCGUGAGUGAUGACGGCCUUCGGGUUGUAAAGCUCUGUUAAUCGGGACGAAAGGCCUUCUUGCGAAUAGUGAGAAGGAUUGACGGUACCGGAAUAGAAAGCCACGGCUAACUACGUG
rnacentral:rRNA from 1 species